CGAAGGGGGCUAGCGUUGUUCGGAAUUACUGGGCGUAAAGCGCGCGCAGGCGGUCUUCCAAGUCAGUGGUGAAAGCCUGGAGCUCAACUCCAGAACUGCCAUUGAAACUGUUAGACUUGAGUACGAGAGAGGUGAGUGGAAUUCCCAGUGUAGAGGUGAAAUUCGUAGAUAUUGGGAAGAACACCAGUGGCGAAGGCGGCUCACUGGCCCGUAACUGACGCUCAGGCGCGACAGCGUGGGGAUCAAACAGGAUUAGAUACCCUGGUAGUCCACGCCGUAAACGAUGAAUGCUAGCCGUUGGAUAGCUUGCUAUUCAGUGGCGCAGCUAACGCAUUAAGCAUUCCGCCUGGGGAGUACGGCCGCAAGGUUG
rnacentral:rRNA from 1 species